GAUGAACGCUGGCGGCGUGCCUAAUACAUGCAAGUCGAGCGAACAGACGAGGAUCUUGCUCCUCUGACGUUAGCGGCGGACGGGUGAGUAACACGUGGGUAACCUACCUAUAAGAAUGGGAUAACUUCGGGAAACCGGAUCUAAUACCGGAUAAUAUAUUGAACCGCAUGGUUCAAUAGUGAAAGACGGUUUUGCUGUCACUUAUAGAUGGAUCCGCGCCGCAUUAGCUAGUUGGUAAGGUAACGGCUUACCAAGGCAACGAUGCGUAGCCGACCUGAGAGGGUGAUCGGCCACACUGGAACUGAGACACGGCCCAGACUCCUACGGGAGGCAGCAGUAGGGAAUUUUCGGCAAUGGGCGCAAGCCUGACGGAGCAACGCCGCGUGAGUGAUGAAGGUCUUCGGAUCGUAAAACACUGUUAUUAGGGAAGAAAAAAUGUGUAAGUAACUAUGCACGUCUUGACGGUACCUAAUCAGAAAGCAACGGCUAACUACGUG
rnacentral:rRNA from 1 species